rnacentral:rRNA from 1 species
AGCGGCGGACGGGUGAGUAACACGUGGGUAACCUGCCCAAGAGACUGGGAUAACACCUGGAAACAGAUGCUAAUACCGGAUAACAACACUAGACGCAUGUCUAGAGUUUGAAAGAUGGUUCUGCUAUCACUCUUGGAUGGACCUGCGGUGCAUUAGCUAGUUGGUAAGGUAAUGGCUUACCAAGGCAACGAUGCAUAGCCGAGUUGAGAGACUGAUCGGCCACAUUGGGACUGAGACACGGCCCAAACUCCUACGGGAGGCAGCAGUAGGGAAUCUUCCACAAUGGACGCAAGUCUGAUGGAGCAACGCCGCGUGAGUGAAGAAGGUUUUCGGAUCGUAAAGCUCUGUUGUUGGUGAAGAAGGAUAGAGGUAGUAACUGGCCUUUAUUUGACGGUAAUCAACCAGAAAGUCACGGCUAACUACGUGCCAGCAGCCGCGGUAAUACGUAGGUGGCAAGCGUUGUCCGGAUUUAUUGGGCGUAAAGCGAGCGCAGGCGGAAAAAUAAGUCUAAUGUGAAAGCCCUCGGCUUAACCGAGGAACUGCAUCGGAAACUGUUUUUCUUGAGUGCAGAAGAGGAGAGUGGAACUCCAUGUGUAGCGGUGGAAUGCGUAGAUAUAUGGAAGAACACCAGUGGCGAAGGCGGCUCUCUGGUCUGCAACUGACGCUGAGGCUCGAAAGCAUGGGUAGCGAACAGGAUUAGAUACCCUGGUAGUCCAUGCCGUAAACGAUGAGUGCUAAGUGU